rnacentral:rRNA from 1 species
AUUGAACGCUAGCGGGAUGCUUUACACAUGCAAGUCGAACGAGUGGCGGAUGGGUGAGUAAUAUAUUGGAACCUGCCUCGUAGCGGGGGAUAACUACUCGCAAGUGUGGCUCAUACCGCAUACCAUUGCAUCGCCCCAUAUCGUAUUAGCUAGGUGGUGGGGUAAAGGCUAACCAAGGCAACGAUCCGUAGCUGGUUUGAGAGGACGACCAGCCACACUGGGACUGAGACACGGCCCAGACUCCUACGGGAGGCAGCAGUGGGGAAUUUUGGACAAUGGGGGAAACCCUGAUCCAGCCAUCCCGCGUGUAUGAGAAGGCCUUCGGGUUGUAAAGUACUUUUGGCAGAGAAGCGGUAUCUGCAGAAUAAGCACCGGCUAACUACGUGCCAGCAGCCGCGGUAAUUC